AACAAGCUGCUCUUUUCUAAGGGAUAGCUAAAGGGUUGCCUCAGAACUGUCAAAGACUAUCAGGCAGACAAAUAAUCUUGAAGAUAAUCUUGAAUCUUGGAGAUAUUUUUACAAAGAGGUGAUAUAUUUUUGUACCUGACUCAGCUAUCCCUUUUUGAAUGUCAUUUGUCCAGCAAGCACCCUCAGAAAUGAUUGCUGUUUGAAGUAUAUAUCCACUGAGCUGUUCAGAGGAUCUGCAGAAAAUUGAAGUGGAGGUUCAAGAGUCAAAGAGCUCUGAUUACAGACGGUCCCCAAGAAAGAUGGCAUGAGAAGAAGUCUGCGUUUUUCUUAAAAACACCAGAAUUGUAAUUAGUUUCAUUUCCUUAGCUCAACAGCUAGCAUUUGAUCUCUGAUAAAACCUCUAGUUAUUAUUUACCAUGCUGGGUUAAAGCAAUUUGCUUGGAUUUAAUUCUAUAUAUACUCACUGUCUUCAUAUAAUUGAAUGAAAAGUCAGUAAGGGAAUAUUUAUAAUCUGUAAGUGAUACCUAAUUAACAACAAAAGCUCUUGUCAAGAUAAUCACCAGGGGGUUUUCAAACUGUUAGGAUACUCAUAAGAAAUAUAAAUAAACUAGAGAA